UCCUGCAAUAUCUUUUUUCAGACUGUCCACAAAACAGAUGGGGACCUAAUUGUGUGAACGAAUGUCCACGAUGCCAGCAUGGGGAAUGUUCCCCGGUCACAGGCGAGUGCCACUGCCAACGCGGAUGGCAAGGUGAGAGUUGUGAGCUCCGCGUAACUACUACGACGACAACAACAGCUGCUACUCCAGAAGCACCACUAAUAACCUAUACCAGCACUAAAACUUCUUCCAUGCCUACACCUUCCACAACCACUGUUAGUGCUACAACUGAAACUAAAACCACUGCUAAAGCUACUGCCAUAUUGCCCGCUUUUACAUCUACAACAGCAACCACAUCGGUAGCAAUUACUACUAUAGCUCCUACUAUCGCUUCUACAAAAAUAACUUCUCCUAUGACUAGCGAAAAGACUACCGAAGUCGUUCAAACUACCACUGAAAGCCAUAAAACAAUAUUUCAAACAACAACUGAAUCACACAAACAACCUGUAUUGGUAUCGAUUACGAAAGCCAUUGAGCCAGUCGUAACAGAGAGCCUACAGACAACUCCAGUUUAUAAUAAAACUGAAAUCAUACUACAACAACAACCUACUGCACCAAGUAUAGAAGUCAAAAUGAUACCUACUGUCGCAUCUAAAAAUAUUAUAAAAGACAAAAAC